CACCAGCGCCUCGAGUGGGGAUCGCGAUUAUUGGGUCUAACGCGUUCGUAGCAGGCUUUGUAAAUGCUUUGUGACAUCGGCAGGCUUAACCUGUCGGCGUGCAGAGUAGACUGCAGAGCUCGAGACCGGGAGAGGUUAGCAGUAUUCCUAGGGUACCGGUAAAAUGGGUUAAGCCUAGGAGGACUACCAAUGGCGAAGGCAGCUAACCAGAACGGUUCUGACUGUGAGGGACGAAAGCUAGGGGAGCAAAACGG
rnacentral:rRNA from 1 species